UAAUACAGAGGGUGCAAACGUUGUUCGGAUUUACUGGGCGUAAAGCGCGUGUAGGCGGCUUGGCAAGUCGGGUGUGAAAGCCCUGGGCUCAACCUAGGAAGUGCACUCGAAACUGCCUCGCUGGAGUCUCGGAGAGGAAAGCGGAAUUCUCGGUGUAGAGGUGAAAUUCGUAGAUAUCGAGAGGAACAUCGGUGGCGAAGGCGGCUUUCUGGACGACGACUGACGCUGAGACGCGAAAGCGUGGGGAGCAAACAGG
rnacentral:rRNA from 1 species